ensembl:lncRNA
GCUGAUGGUUGGGUGGGGGGAAGGAAAAAUAGCAACUUAGCAGACAAGUUUACCAGGUAAGGAGUGAGUGGGUGGGGAGGGUUCCCGCGGGCCAUGUGGGCGGUACAGCCUUGUAUUCUGGCACAGCCAGGAUUAAUUGCUUUGGGAGGGGGUCCUUUGGAGGUGACAUUUCUCUGCAGCCCACCAAAAUUUUCUCACGGACCACUAGUGGGCCAUGGCCCACCGGUUGGCAACCACUGCUCUAUAGGACAGAGCAAUGAAAACAAUAGCGGGAAACAUAUAUGGAAGUCACAAUUGGCAGCAGUAAGCCACGAUACCUGGCCUUUCCCCCAAUUCCCCCCAAAUGCUAUGCACAGCUGGGAUGCAUACUUUUUCAGGAGUUUGGUGGGGACAGUUUUGGAAACCAUUUCAGCUGACGUCUUUAGUUCAUUAUUUGCUGGAAGCAGAAUGGACAAAGAAGGGAGGAGACAAACAUUCAUACCGUUGUCUCAUUUUGGAGAGAAAGGAAUCUUCUGCCCACUGCCAGUUCUCAUCUCUAUUUUUUUUUUUUUUUUUUUUGUGAAACGAAACAUGCAUCAGCUAGAUUUCACCAUGCCUCUUAUUUUCUGCAGGAUCACAGACAUGUCCAAGGCAUCCAUGAGUAGCCGGCCUGAGUCUGGCUAUGAAAACAUGGACCAUUUCUCUAUCAAUGUAGAUCACGUUGCUGAAAUGCUGAGAACUAUUGAAUUUCAGACAGAUAUUUCUGGAGAAGAAACUGAGUCUGAAGGAAUUAUCGCAGAAGGAAGUGUUGAAGCUGGAGAGGAAGACCAUCCAGAAGGAUCAGAGGGGCCUGAAGGAGCAGAAGAUGGAGAGAACCUGUCUCGAUUCAGACCAAAGCCACCUAAUAUACCACCUCGGGGUAAGUCCUCCUUCUCCUGGACAAUUGGCAGAGAAUGAGAGGGCCAGGAGGAAUAUCUUCAGGAAUGAGUCCCAACAACCGGAUGUUCUCUUGAUGGGAUGCUUACAUAGAAAGUUUCUAGGGAUGAUCUGAAUGGAAUUUUCUGCCAGGUGGUUGAUUAUUUUGUGUACUUUACCUGGCACUGCUAUAGAGAAGACAAUAGCCUAGCUUCUUUUAUCACAAUCUUUUUCAAUGACAUAAAAAAAGGGUGAGGUAGAAACACAGUGAAAAGAAAUAACACCCAUCAGCCAGAAUUGAAGGAAGGGAAUAGAGCAGGUCCUACUGUUUCCAAAGCAGCAGGGAAAUAAUUCUGCUUCCUAACCCAGAAAUAGUGGGCAGAAUUCUGGUAACUUAUAACUGUUGAUCUUUAGCUAUUUUGGAUCUUCUUUCCUGCUUCUGAGGCUUUGGGGUUUCCCUGGCAAAAUUUCUCCCAAGGUUCAUUCUCUUGUUCCCUCCCCCAACUCUUUAUCUUUCCAAGGGUAUAAUGGAAUUAAAAGAAGAGAAUUUGUCACCAGGAAAGGGUAGGGUGCCCAUUAGUGAGCUUUCCUGCUUUAGACUGGGAUAUUCACCAGACCUGGAUCAUCUGGGCAGCAAUCUGGCACAUUUUAUUUCCCACUAGACGUGUAUCUUAUUUCUUCCACCAGGACAACACUGAAAAGUCACUUUGAAGACGGAAGCAGUUGGAGAAUGUUCCGGUCAGCCCCAUCCCAUGCUUCUUCCUCCACUCCAGCAGACGUUUUUCUUGCUUCCUACUAAAUUUUCUUUCUCUGUGCAUCUUUUUCUUGCUUCCUUCUAUGCUCUUUUUCUCCCCAUACCAUUUGGCUUUUUAAUAUAUGGAGAUAAUAAAGUUGUGAGUUAUUUUUGCUAACAGCAAUUCUGGCAAGGUUCGUUGGGUGAGAGAGAUUCUGUUGG